GAUGAACGCUGGCGGCGUGCCUAAUACAUGCAAGUCGAGCGGUAAGGCCCUUCGGGGUACACGAGCGGCGGACGGCUGAGUAGCGCGUAGGAACGUACCCCAAAGUGAGGAAUAAGCACCAGAAAUGGUGUCUAAUACCGCAUGUGGUCUUCGGAUUAAAGCCUUCGGGCGCUUUGGGAGCGGCCUGCGUAUGAUUAGCUUGUUGGUGAGGUAAUGGCUCACCAAGGCGACGAUCAUUAGCUGAUCUGAGAGGAUGAUCAGCCAGACCGGGACUGAGACACGGCCCAGACUCCUACGGGAGGCAGCAGUAGGGAAUUUUCCACAAUGGACGAAAGUCUGAUGGAGCAACGCCGCGUGCAGGAUGAAUGCCUUCGGGUUGUAAACUGCUUUUAUAGGUGAAGAUUAUGACGGUAACCUAUGAAUAAGGAUCGGCUAACUCCGUGCCAGCAGCCGCGGUAA
rnacentral:rRNA from 1 species